AUGCAGAAUCGUUUCGAUCUACUUGUCACGGGCAUGAUGCCUAUAUACAUGAUCAUGCCUAGAUAUUCUCAUAACUAUGAGCUUUUCUAUCAAUUGGUCGACAAUAAUUUGUUCACCCACCGUAAUAACUAUGCUAUCUUGAGAGAAGCCACUAGUGAAACCUAUGGCCCCCGGGUCUAUCUCUUAUCAUAUAAGCUUUCAAUCUACUUUUAUUUGCAUCUUUACUUUUCCAAUCUAUAUCAUAACAUACCAAAAAUAAAUUUAUCUUAUCAUAUUAUCUCUAUCAGAUCUCACUUUCGCAAGUGGCCUUGA
rnacentral:rRNA from 1 species